rnacentral:lncRNA from 1 species
AGAGGUUGUAUCAAAGGCAGCUUCAAGUUGGACAGGGAGAAUUAUGCAGAGAAUUGCCUUGCAAUGAGAUCUUUGAUUACAUGCAAACAUAGGACUUGGGGAGAUACUUCUAAAUGAAACUCUUAAAUCAUAGUCAGUGGAAAAAUAGAGUAAGAUAUUCAGAAUACGCUAUGAGUCUGCAAUGGUCUUAGAAGGUAUUUUGCAUGUACUUUCAUCUGCAGAGGAGUUUAAAGAGCUUUAAUAAGAUAAGCUUAGACAUUUUCAUAAUCCUUCACUAAAUUUCUAACAUACCUAUAUUUCUUGAACUACUUUAUUAAGACUCAGACAUGUUUAGGUGAAUCAAACCCUGCCAUGGUCCUUGUGGAAAUGAAGCUUGUGCCAACCUACUUUUGUUAUCUCUGACUUAUUUUCCUCCUCCCUCAUUUUAGAACCUAAAGCCAAUUUAAGCCAAAUCUGAUAGAAGAUAAAGUGUCUCAGAGAUAAUCUUCUCUUUCCUUGCAAAUGUAAUGGAAGCUGAUAGAAAGAGGAGAGCAUUCCUGCUGAGUAUCUCCACUGAUGGAAAGACUGAAUGCAAGCUCACAAGUUCCCUGACCUCAAAUCAGUCAGCUGGUACUCCCUACACACUGCUGCUGGUCUGUCUUCUGUUAGGGCAUAACAGAGAGGUGUUUCCUGACUAA